rnacentral:rRNA from 1 species
UGGGGUGACUGCGUACCUUUUGUAUAAUGGGUCAGCGACUUAUAUUCUGUAGCAAGGUUAACCGUAUAGGGGAGCCGAAGGGAAACCGAGUCUUAACUGGGCGUUAAGUUGCAGGGUAUAGACCCGAAACCCGGUGAUCUAGCCAUGGGCAGGUUGAAGGUUGGGUAACACUAACUGGAGGACCGAACCGACUAAUGUUGAAAAAUUAGCGGAUGACCUGUGGCUGGGGGUGAAAGGCCAAUCAAACCGGGAGAUAGCUGGUUCUCCCCGAAAGCUAUUUAGGUAGCGCCUCGUGAAUUCAUCUCCGGGGGUAGAGCACUGUUUCGGCUAGGGGGCCAUCCCGGCUUACCAACCCGAUGCAAACUGCGAAUACCGGAGAAUGUUAUCACGGGAGACACACGGCGGGUGCUAACGUCCGUCGUGAAGAGGGAAACAACCCAGACCGCCAGCUAAGGUCCCAAAGUCAUGGUUAAGUGGGAAACGAUGUGGGAAGGCCCAGACAGCCAGGAUGUUGGCUUAGAAGCAGCCAUCAUUUAAAGAAAGCGUAAUAGCUCACUGGUCGAGUCGGCCUGCGCGGAAGAUGUAACGGGGCUAAACCAUGCACCGAAGCUGCGGCAGCGACACUAUGUGUUGUUGGGUAGGGGAGCGUUCUGUAAGCCGUUGAAGGUGUGCUGUGAGGCAUGCUGGAGGUAUCAGAAGUGCGAAUGCUGACAUAAGUAACGAUAAAGCGGGUGAAAAGCCCGCUCGCCGGAAGACCAAGGGUUCCUGUCCAACGUUAAUCGGGGCAGGGUGAGUCGACCCCUAAGGCGAGGCCGAAAGGCGUAGUCGAUGGGAAACAGGUUAAUAUUCCUGUACUUGGUGUUACUGCGAAGGGGGGACGGAGAAGGCUAUGUCGGCCGGGCGACGGUUGUCCCGGUUUAAGCGUGUAGGUGUGUGCUCCAGGCAAAUCCGGUGCACUUUAACACUGAGGCGUGAUGACGAGGCACUACGGUGCUGAAGUGACAAAUGCCCUGCUUCCAGGAAAAGCCUCUAAGCAUCAGGUAACACGAAAUCGUACCCCAAACCGACACAGGUGGUCAGGUAGAGAAUACCAAGGCGCUUGAGAGAACUCGGGUGAAGGAACUAGGCAAAAUGGUGCCGUAACUUCGGGAGAAGGCACGCUGAUAUGUAGGUGAAGUGAUUUACUCAUGGAGCUGAAAUCAGUCGAAGAUACCAGCUGGCUGCAACUGUUUAUUAAAAACACAGCACUGUGCAAACACGAAAGUGGACGUAUACGGUGUGACGCCUGCCCGGUGCCGGAAGGUUAAUUGAUGGGGUUAUCCCUCGGGAGAAGCUCUUGAUCGAAGCCCCGGUAAACGGCGGCCGUAACUAUAACGGUCCUAAGGUAGCGAAAUUCCUUGUCGGGUAAGUUCCGACCUGCACGAAUGGCGUAAUGAUGGCCAGGCUGUCUCCACCCGAGACUCAGUGAAAUUGAACUCGCUGUGAAGAUGCAGUGUACCCGCGGCAAGACGGAAAGACCCCGUGAACCUUUACUAUAGCUUGACACUGAACACUGGUCCUUGAUGUGUAGGA